AUGACGCUGGCGGCGUGCCUAAUACAUGCAAGUCGAACGAGUUCUCGUUGAUGAUCGGUGCUUGCACCGAGAUUCAACAUGGAACGAGUGGCGGACGGGUGAGUAACACGUGGGUAACCUGCCCUUAAGUGGGGGAUAACAUUUGGAAACAGAUGCUAAUACCGCAUAGAUCCAAGAACCGCAUGGUUCUUGGCUGAAAGAUGGCGUAAGCUAUCGCUUUUGGAUGGACCCGCGGCGUAUUAGCUAGUUGGUGAGGUAAUGGCUCACCAAGGCGAUGAUACGUAGCCGAACUGAGAGGUUGAUCGGCCACAUUGGGACUGAGACACGGCCCAAACUCCUACGGGAGGCAGCAGUAGGGAAUCUUCCACAAUGGACGCAAGUCUGAUGGAGCAACGCCGCGUGAGUGAAGAAGGCUUUCGGGUCGUAAAACUCUGUUGUUGGAGAAGAAUGGUCGGCAGAGUAACUGUUGUCGGCGUGACGGUAUCCAACCAGAAAGCCACGGCUAACUACGUGCCAGCAGCCGCGGUAAUACGUAGGUGGCAAGCGUUAUCCGGGAUUUAUUGGGCGUAAAGCGAGCGCAGGCGGUUUUUUAAGUCUGAUGUGAAAGCCCUCGGCUUAACCGAGGAAGCGCAUCGGAAACUGGGAAACUUGAGUGCAGAAGAGGACAGUGGAACUCCAUGUGUAGCGGUGAAAUGCGUAGAUAUAUGGAAGAACACCAGUGGCGAAGGCGGCUGUCUGGUCUGUAACUGACGCUGAGGCUCGAAAGCAUGGGUAGCGAACAGGAUUAGAUACCCUGGUAGUCCAUGCCGUAAACGAUGAAUGCUAGGUGUUGGAGGGUUUCCGCCCUUCAGUGCCGCAGCUAACGCAUUAAGCAUUCCGCCUGGGGAGUACGACCGCAAGGUUGAAACUCAAAGGAAUUGACGGGGGCCCGCACAAGCGGUGGAGCAUGUGGUUUAAUUCGAAGCAACGCGAAGAACCUUACCAGGUCUUGACAUCUUUUGAUCACCUGAGAGAUCAGGUUUCCCCUUCGGGGGCAAAAUGACAGGUGGUGCAUGGUUGUCGUCAGCUCGUGUCGUGAGAUGUUGGGUUAAGUCCCGCAACGAGCGCAACCCUUAUGACUAGUUGCCAGCAUUUAGUUGGGCACUCUAGUAAGACUGCCGGUGACAAACCGGAGGAAGGUGGGGAUGACGUCAAAUCAUCAUGCCCCUUAUGACCUGGGCUACACACGUGCUACAAUGGAUGGUACAACGAGUUGCGAGACCGCGAGGUCAAGCUAAUCUCUUAAAGCCAUUCUCAGUUCGGACUGUAGGCUGCAACUCGCCUACACGAAGUCGGAAUCGCUAGUAAUCGCGGAUCAGCACGCCGCGGUGAAUACGUUCCCGGGCCUUGUACACACCGCCCGUCACACCAUGAGAGUUUGUAACACCCGAAGCCGGUGGCGUAACCCUUUUAGGGAGCGAGCCGUCUAAGGUGGGACAAAUGAUUAGGGG
rnacentral:rRNA from 2 species